rnacentral:tRNA from 1 species
UGGUGUAAAUGGUUAACACACUCGGCUGCCAAACGAAAGGUUGGAGGUUCGAAUCCACC